rnacentral:rRNA from 1 species
AUUGAACGCUGGCGGCAGGCCUAACACAUGCAAGUCGAACGAGUGGCGGACGGGUGAGUAAUGUCUGGGAAACUGCCUGAUGGAGGGGGAUAACUACUGGAAACGGUAGCUACUACCGCAUACCAUCAGAUGUGCCCAGAUGGGAUUAGCUAGUUGGGGGGGUAACGGCUCACCAAGGCGACGAUCCCUAGCUGGUCUGAGGGGAUGACCGGCCGCACUGGAACUGGGAACGGGUCCAGACUCCUAGGGGGGGCAGCGGGGGGGAUUAUUGCACAAGGGGCGCAAGCCUGAUGCAGCCAGGCCGGGUGUAUGAAGAAGGCCUUCGGGUUGUAAAGUACUUUCAGCGGGGAGGGGUUACCCGCAGAAGAAGCACCGGCUAACUCCGUGCCAGCCGCCGCGUAAUAC